CCUACGGGAGGCUGCAGUGAGGAAUAUUGGUCAAUGGUCGGGAGACUGAACCAGCCAAGCCGCGUGAGGGAUGAAGGUACAGAGUAUCGUAAACCUCUUUUGUCAGGGAACAAAGGCGGGGACGCGUCCCCGGAUGAGUGUACCUGACGAAAAAGCAUCGGCGAACUCCGUGCCAGCAGCCGCGGUAAUACGGAGGAUGCGAGCGUUAUCCGGAUUUAUUGGGGUUAAAGGGCGCGCAGGCGGUCUGUUAAGUCAGCGGUCAAAGCCCCGGGCCAAACCCCGGCCCGGCCGUUGAAACUGGCAGUCUCGAGUUGGAGAGAGGUAUGCGGAAUGCGCGGUGUAGCGGUGAAAUGCAUAGAUAUCGCGCAGAACUCCGAUUGCGAAGGCGGCAAGCCGGCUCCACACUGACGCUGAGGCACGAAAGCGUGGGUAUCGAACAGGAUUAGAUACCCCAGUAGUC
rnacentral:rRNA from 1 species